AUGCUGAGGAGCGUCAUGGCGAGGACCGAGGCCAUGUCGCCGACGAAGACCACGGGCAGAGGGUCGAGGGGCAGCAGGUGGUCACCGUUGCGGGCGGGAGCUGGCGUGAACGACCGGCAGAGCCCUGACCGUGACCCGCGUCGGAGUCCGGCGAAGCUGCACGACGACGACGGGGUCGACUUCGUCGUCGCGUCACCGCGUGCGCUGCUCCGGUCGUUCUCGGCGCCGGCGGCUGGGUGUUCUUCGGGCGCGUCCUCUGAAGGCGCGGAGAAGACGGUGGGCCGGAGCAGAAGCUUCAGCAUUUUCAGAGGGACGGUGGCGAGCCUGAGGCAUAGCCUCUGCAUGGGCGGAGGAGCAGGGAAGCUGCUGCUGACGCAUCUGUCCAGGAAGAAGCCUUCCUCUCCGGCGUCUCCCCGUCAGAAUUUCCUCUCGGCCGGGCCUCCCAGCCCGGUGUCGCCGUUGGAGGUCAGCGGCGGCCGCCAUUUCUCCGGCGAUCUCAACUGCACGUUCCUCCCAGAGUCGAGCCCGAGGUGGAAUCCCAGGUGUUCGUCGGAGUUGGAGGCGUCCGUGGGCGGCGGCGAGUCGCCGUGGGAAUGGAAGGCCGACGCCGCGGCCGAGAGCGACGACCCGGACACGGCGUACGUCAGAGAAGUGCUCGUUGCCGCGGGGCUGUUCGUCGAGGACGACGACGAGGCACCGGUUGCGAGGACGGACUCGAUCGCCAUCUCCGACGACGUCUUCGAGGAGGUCGAGGACGGGCACUACUACCGCCGCCUCCGGUACCGCGACGACGGCGCCGGAGAGGAUGAGGAACUCGGGGCGGCGGACCGCCGCAGGCUGCUCUUCGACCUGGCCAACGAGGCGCUGCUGGCGGGAGCCAGACCUGCCGUCUCGUCUUCUUCGCCGUCGUGUCUGCGCCGGUGGGUCGUCGAAUGCAACGACGGCGCGCCAUCGUCGUCGCGGCCGCGGGGGAGGGAGCUGGAGGACGAGGUGUGGCGGCACGUGGCGCGGGCGACGGCGGACGGCACGGCGGAGCGCGACGUCGGGAGGUCGCCGUGGGUGCCGGAGGCGCUGUGCGGGGACGCCUGCGCCGUCGGGAGGAAGAUCGAGCGCGCCAUCUUCGACGAGCUGGUCGGCGAUGUCGUGCGCCAGCUGUUUGUCUGA
rnacentral:rRNA from 1 species